AGAAAGAAGGAGGAAAGAAAGAAAGAAGGAGAGGAAGAAGAAGAUGGGAUUCGAAAUCCCUAGGUGUAGGUGCUCAAGAGGAGAAUCAACCUUGUGGUUUUGAUUUCUAUCAAGGAGGUAGCAAAUAGGUUUCUCUAUGGCACACGUGGUGAUGUGGGGAGUUCUAUCGUCGUGGUGUGUAUGGCGUGGGGGCAUCCUAUGGAUGAAAAAUGAUCAAUUAAAAACGCCAUUUUUAAUAAUGUUAUGUUUCAUGA